rnacentral:rRNA from 1 species
GAUGAACGCUGGCGGCGUGCCUAAUACAUGCAAGUCGAGCGAACGGACGAGUAGCUUGCUUCUCUGAUGUUAGCGGCGGACGGGUGAGUAACACGUGGAUAACCUACCUAUAAGACUGGGAUAACUUCGGGAAACCGUAGCUAAUACCGGAUAAUAUUUUGAACCGCAUGGUUCAAAAGUGAAAGACGGUCUUGCUGUCACUUAUAGAUGGAUCCGCGCUGCAUUAGCUAGUUGGUAAGGUAACGGCUUACCAAGGCAACGAUGCAUAGCCGACCUGAGAGGGUGAUCGGCCACACUGGAACUGAGACACGGUCCAGACUCCUACGGGAGGCAGCAGUAGGGAAUCUUCCGCAAUGGGCGAAAGCCUGACGGAGCAACGCCGCGUGAGUGAUGAAGGUCUUCGGAUCGUAAAACUCUGUUAUUAGGGAAGAACAUAUGUGUAAGUAACUGUGCACAUCUUGACGGUACGUAAUCAGAAAGCCACGGCUAACUACGUG